UUUUUUUUUUUGAAGUGUAUUUGAAAAAGUCCGCUUAUACUUGAAAAAUGAAGACAAAAAUAGAUAACACCACUUGCCUGGUCAGGCAAAACCCAUCACCAACUCAGGCUUAUAUCAGGCGGCACUUUUUCUCAGGCACAUUUGUUUUUUGAGGUAAUUUUCUCAGGCACAUAGUCAGGGUAGGAACCAAACAGGCGUGUAGACUCGCGAUAUUUUGCUGCCCAGUAACUUUCCUGCACUUGCUCCGGGCCACAACCGGGUUUUUUCGCCUCUGUUGACCACAUUGCCUUUCUUUCUUUUCUUCUCGAAAAAAUAAACUUAGUUCACAUUUCCAUGGCUCAUCCAUCCAUCCCGCCACGUUCUCGUCGUCGCCUCAAAAGCUGUCCCCGAUCUCACGCGCUAACCCUAAACAAAAGAAAACAAAACCGCCACGCCGACGCCGACAGACGCCCACGUCCGUAGAGGCACGCACAUCGCCUCUGUCGUCUCCCUCCUCUCCGGCCGGCUCCCGGCCCAUUUAUACCGCCUCGCCGGCCAUUCUCACAAGUCGUAGCACUCGCACCACAUUCGACCAGGCACGCCAACGACGACUUUGCAAUGCCGAGGACGCGGGCGAUGUGCUGCCUCAUGCCGUCGAAGCCCUCCGGCGAUGCGCGCCGCCGCAGCAGCGCGGCGUGCAUUUGCUGCAUCGGCCCCCACCACCGCCCGUCCGGGGGCGGCGCCCUCGCCCCCGUCGACGCGGACAACAGCAGCGUGCGGACGCCGCUCACCAGCUGCUGCGGCGCCGGGGACGCCGUCCGCACGCCGCGCACCCCCAAGACGCCCUCCGCCAGGCGCCUCUGCGGCGUCCGCUCCCGCACCCCGCGCCGCGCGCAGCAGGUCCGCCGCUUCACUCCGGCACCAGCGCCGGCGCCCGCGGCACCUGCUGCUCCAGCGCGAGCGGCGGCGCCGGCUGCUCCCGCGAGGACUCCUGUGGCAGCUGCUGCAUCGGCUGGAGCGGCGCUGGCUGUUCCUCCGGUGAAGACUCCCGUAUCAGCUGCUGCGUCAGCUGGAGUGCCGCUGGUUGCUCCUCCUCCUGCGAGGACUCCCGUGGCAGCUGCUCCGUCGGCUGGAGCGGCGCUGGUUGCUCCUCCUCCUGCGAGGACUCCCGUGGCAGCUGCUGCUGCUUCGGCUGGAGCGGCGCUGGCUCCUCCUCCUGCGAGGACGCCGCGAACGCCUUCGACGCCGAUCGGGCGGACCCAGCGCGUGUGCUGCGUGACCACCGCGGCGCCAGCGCAGGCCGGCAACGCGAAGUCCAAGUCGGGCACCGCGCGGCGCCGCUGGCUCAGCUCCGCCAGCAAGGCGGUGGCGCAGACGCGCGGCGCGGUCUCCGGCAACGUUCGCGACAGCGGCACCAACCCGCGUGCCAACGGCCACGUCGCCAAGGCGGUCCACAGGGCGGCGCCGCUCGCGCAGGCCGUGGAGCCGCCAGCGCCGGCGAAGGAGGACGAGUCGGUCUGCUCCGACGAGGAGUACGCGAUGCUGUGCCGGGAGGGCUUCUCACGGGAGGACGUCGCCGCCGUCACCAUCCAGGCCUACUUCCGCGCGCACCUGGUGCGUGCUCACCAUGCUGGCCGCCAUGCCAGAUCGUUACUUCCACGCCUGAUUGAUUUGCAUGUCUAAAUCUAAACUGCGUUUUGGUUUUGCAGGCGCGGCGGGCGUUCAAGGCGCUGAGGAGCCUGGUGAGGCUGCAGGCGGUGGCGCGGGGCGCGUACGUGCGGCGGCAGGCGGAGGUGGCGGUGCACUGCAUGCAGGCCAUGGCGCGGCUGCAGGCGCGCGUGCGCUCCAGGCAGGCGCUCGCCAAGCCCAAGGACAACGACGACAAGCUCCUGCUGCUGCAGAACUGAUCGAUCAACAUGCAGCACAAAAUAAAUCUGGAAACUGAUCUGGGCUUCUCGAGCGAGGCAAGUUUAAAUUGGUUCGCAUGAUGAGUUGUUCAAACCUGCCUGGGUUUGUACAUCUGCGAUUGUUUUCAAUUUCAUGGUCUCCUUAUUUAUGUCGUUUUUGGGGAGUGUCUUCACCACUGGAAUAUGUAACUCCUGCAUUUUCAAACAUACCGUGGGUGUUUUCAGUUUUGCCAAUACUCGGUCAGUCCGAAAUUAUCGGUCGCCUCUACCCUUGCAACGCAGACCCUCAUAAACGUGUACAUAUAUUCACCCUUAUGAACACAUGAACGGACACCCUACUCUAUUUACAUCUUCGAAAAACUAAACCGGCACAUCAUUUUAAGAUUGACAAAGUGACCACAGGCUCUUCCGUAGUCAACGGGAAUGUCUCCUCUCACGGAACGCACAUCGCCUGAAGGCCUAAAAUAAAUUCAUGAAAAUGCAAUCACCAAUGUCUAAGUUUAGGACUUGAACCCCCGUGGAUUGAUUCCACCACAAGAAAACUAACCAUCUGAACUACUUCAGUUCGCUCCACUUGGUGAUGUUGACCAUGGCAAACUUACUAAAACGGUGUUUUAUCAGUAUAGAAGCGUACUCGGCAUUCAUUUGGUAGAAACUUAAUCUUGUAAGUCUAUAUUGAUGUUUGAUUAGUAUAGAAGCAUACUCAGCAUUCAUUUGGUAACCUUUAAUGAGGCAAGCAUACUUCGAAUGGCCGCCAGAAAAGAUGAUAGACAUUUAAUUAUAAGUCCAUAUUGAUGUUUUUUUUAGGAUCAGUCCAUAUUGAUGUUUGAUCGGUGGUUUGUUGGACUAACAACCAAAAAAAACUCUCCCACGAGGCUCAUAAAACAAAGGGAGUGAACGUCACUUUAAAACCAAGGGAGUGAAUGUCACCUUGACUCUGCUUUUGCGGAAACAUAUAAUACAAGCAAGUUUGGACUCACAACUCUUAGAUGUACUAGUAGGUACGGUUCAUCAAUUUCCCACAUUCAAAAUAGUAAUAAUCCUUACAACCUUCCCAUCACAUGAGUACGGUUAGUCGACUCACAAAAAAAGGCAUGUCAAUCCUCAAUAUGUAUUUCAAAGAGAGAAAUUAUUAUUUAUAUUUUUGCUUACUAAAUUGGAAAAAACAUAAGUAAGGAUACACGCAUUGAAACAAUACACCACGACUUUCAUGGUAGCACAUAACCAACUAAGGACGGUGUUUGGACCUUAAUACUAAAUGAAGUAAAUAACAUAUACAUGGAACAAAUGGACUUGUUAUGCUAUUCCCUUUUUUUACUUCUUCAGCCAAAACGUCAUCUCCUUUGUGAACUUCUCCAUUGCUGGUUUUGGUAGUAGGAUUGAUACCACGGUUGAGUCUUCACCAUCUUUAUUCUUACACUUGGUAUGAUAGCUUAUCAGCUUUGAAGUGAAAUCUCCAGCAUGCGGUGUGCCAGCGGCAACCAACUCGGCUUUCCCAAAUUGCAGUGCAUUGCCUCCAACCCACUUUGUGUCACUAACCUCAUAUGUUCUAUCCAUACCAAAAGGUGACCGCUCUCGCCAUAAUGCCAUCAAAUCCACCAUUGACUUCAUGCGAUCCUUUGUGGUGUCCAACUUGACUUGACGCAUGAGCUCAAGUAUAUGUCCAAGCGGCUUUGCAGCCAACUCCUCGACAGUGACCUCGACCAUAGGAGAGAAAUGUGCAUUUCCAUAGUAACCACGUGGGACGGCGCUUUCACCAUUAAUGCUUCUCCCACGUGUGUUUAAUGUAAACAUGACACGGACUUUUUGAGUAGAUUCAUAGCCCAGUGCCAAUGUGCGGCACCGCCACAUGACAGCCGUAAUCAACUCAAAUGUUGUAGUAGAUUUAGAGAGGUGUUCUGGGACGUGGCUUCUCAACAUUUCUAUCUCAUUUGGCCCAAAGAAUAAAUAUUGCACUUCCAUGCAUUCUGGCGGAGUUGAUAGCAUCACGUCGUCUCCUGUGCACUCUAACCCAUGAAGAAAUGGCUUAUAUGCCGGGUAAACAUGUGCAAUUGAUGGUGGCAUGCGUGCUGUGAAGAUAUCUCUUUUCCACACAGGCAAAGUUGUUGGGAUAAGUUCACCACAUCCAAAAUCGGCUAUAGUUUUGAUAAAUUGAAGAAUACCAAAACCAUCAGCAAUGCAAUGACACAUGUGAAGCCCAAUAACAAAUCCUCCACAUUUUAGUUGUGUCACCUGCACAACAAACAUGUGCUUAGCAAAAAUACAUGGAAUUCAAACAAGCAAUGAAAAUAAUUAAUAUGACCACGUAUGCAUGGCUAUGCGUCAUUCACCCUCCCUUUCUAUAUUGAUACACUUUUUACGGUAAUCAUAUUAAUACACUUUUUCUCAGUUGUAUUUGAUGGCAUCGUAUUCAAGCAUCAACACAAACUUAAUAAAACUAGUGAUAAGUAAUAAUACAACAAGAAUGAAUGUUUGUAGUACGUUAAAUAAUUUUCGAUUUUAAUUCACUUUAUUAUGAAAGAAAACAUCGAACCGACAAAUGGAAUUUGGUAAAAUUUGAUGGACAAAACUUUACUGAUAUAACAACUCUUUUUUCGCCAAGAAAGUUGGACGCUAACAAUUUCAUUAUGUGAUGCAACCCUCUUUUCUACUUUCAUUUUUUAUUUUUGCUAGAAUAUUGAUAUUAACCCCGCAAAAAAUAGAAGAAUUUCGAUAUUGAUAAGGUGCUCAUACCAUCAUUCAUGGUAAUAAAUACACUAUAUGUAUAUAUGUAGAAAUUCAACAUACUACCACCCAUAAUAAGCCACAUAACGAAAUAGAACUAACUAAGAAACACUAUAUUACCCCGCAAAAAAAACACUAUAUUACCUGCAGGAAGAGCAAAGGCUUGCCAAGUACAUCCCUGGUGUCGCCGCAGUCUCCGAGGAACUCCUCAACGCACGGGUACGGCGGCACCAGCGGCUGGCCGAGGUCCUGGAGCCGCACGUCGGCGGAGGCCUCCACGAAGGCCACCCCCUCCCCCGUGCAGUCCACCGCCAGCCUGUUCCCGCCGGGGAGCUUCCGCAGGCGGCCGGCCAUUGGGUAGUAGUACACGAGCGCCGCGGCCACGGCCGCCUUGAUGCCCCUGGCCACCUUGCCCGGCCUGGGCGCCUCGCCCGGCGGGGCCCGGAAGAAGCCGACGAUGGACUCGUAGAACCGCAGCGUCCACUGGUCGUCGAGGUCGGAGAGCGCCUUGGUUUCCGUUGGCGUCGGCCUCGCCGGGCGCACCAGCUCCGGCUCGCCCCGGCGCGCCGUGAAUGUCACCAUGGUGGUAGGAGGUUCGAUCGUGUGUGCUUGUGCGUGUGAGAGUGGUGUGGGCUGUGGAGGCGGUGGGAUCGAUGGCUUGCUUGCUUGCUCGUUGUGGUGGUUUGCGGUGAGCUGUGUACGUAGGUUCAUAUAUAGGCGUGGCGAUGGCGACUGGUUCAAGGAUGGCAUGCAUGCACGUAUGCAUGGAUGGUGACGGACGGAGGAGCUGGUCAGUGCCGUAACUCUUUGAACGGGCUAGGGCUAGUACGUACUGCGUCGUCAGUUCAACUUUGAUCUGCGCCUCUGGACUGGAGAAUCAACACACUCGUGCCGGCGCGGCGAGACCUGCACUGCGUACUGGAGUGGAGUAGUAGUAGUCGACAAGACAAACCGUCAACUUUGAUCCGUUCGCUGUGUCACUGUGUGUCCCCUAGCAGUAGCAGCUCGUCGCACCAGGCGCGCGGUCUCCCUUGGCUGUCUCUCUCUUGCCGUGGGUGACGGGUGGCGGGUGACGACGGCACGAGCGAACCAGCUGGCCAUAGCCCGGCGCUAGGCAGGGUUUCGGGCCGCACCUUGCAAACGGCUUGACUUGAAAACGUAAGCCGAGGCUUGCCUCAGCCACCGAACAAAACUACUAGUAGUAUUUUGUAGUUUGCCCAAAAAAACUUAUUUUGUAGUGAAAUUAUUAAAUACUCCCUCCAUUCCAAAAUAGAUGACCCAACUUUGAACUAACUUUAGUACAAAGUUGGGUCAUCUAUUUUGAAACGAAGGAAGUAUGUAUUAAAAAUAUUGAAUAAGUCUUUUUGCGAGGAAAAAAUAUUAUAAUGUCUUAAAUAAGUUGAUUUCAAGAUAUAAAUGUACGACAUUUUUCUUCUGCAAAAAAUGUCAAAAUCAUUUAUUUCGUGUUUGAGACUAAGCUUCGGAUGGAAAAGUGAUGCCCGAUCACAAGAGUUGGGUCAUCUCGUGGAAAGUGGAAAUUCAAGCACAUGACCUCACGUGCAUGCAGCGGCGGCGCCAGGAAUUAGGCAAGCCCCAGGCCGACCCAGGCAGCCUUCGUUCAUUGUAGCUUACUGUAGCAUUAUACGUACAAUACUCGCUACUGUCAAUGAAGCAAACAAGCAUCACGCCCCAGGCAGCCGCCAUGGCACGGCAAGUUAAGGGUUUUGUCGAGUACUGCUACUCCAGUAUGCAGGACUCGCCGCCCCGGCACGAGAGGUGCAGACCAAAGUGGAACUGCACAAGCAAAUAAACUGCAUUGUACUCCCUUCAUUCCAAAGUAGUGUUUCAUUUAUUUCCGUGCUUCAACUUUAACCAUAAAUUUAACUAAUGAGACCGACUGCGGUGGGAGCAAAAAUUAUACCAGUGAAUUCGUAUUCAAAAUAAGUUUUCAAUUAUAUAAUUUUUUUCUCCCGCCGCAGUCGGUCUCGUUGAUUAAAUUUAUGGUCAAAGUUAGACAUCAGAAAGCACGGGCGCACUAUAUUUUGGAAUUGAGGGAGUACAAUACCCAUCCAACAUGUAGAAGGUGAAAUCACGUUUCUCGGUCUUGUGAGUUGUCCUAAGGCUUGUGCUCUUCGUUUGGCGUUGAGAGAUACUGAAAUAUCCCUGAUGAAGAGUUUUUCAAGUUCUAAAGACCGGACUGGUUAUUGGUUUUGUUGGAUCAUUUGAGCUUGCAGCGAAGAGAGAAAAUCUUGUUUCUCUCCUGACGAGCCUGGCAUUUUAGAAAUGACUUAAUUUUUUUUUUUGGGAAGGGGGAGGAAUCCAUUACUUGCUCUGUAAAUUUUGUGGACAACUAUUGGUCCUCAUUCACGUCCUGUCACAAUACUAUGCAGUUCGAGUCUACUAACAAAGGUAAGGAAAGGGUGGGAGGUGUUAUGGCAGAUUNNNNNNNNNNNNNNNNNNNNNNNNNNNNNNNNNNNNNNNNNNNNNNNNNNNNNNNNNNNNNNNNNNNNNNNNNNNNNNNNNNNNNNNNNNNNNNNNNNNNNNNNNNNNNNNNNNNNNNNNNNNNNNNNNNNNNNNNNNNNNNNNNNNNNNNNNNNNNNNNNNNNNNNNNNNNNNNNNNNNNNNNNNNNNNNNNNNNNNNNNNNNNNNNNNNNNNNNNNNNNNNNNNNNNNNNNNNNNNNNNNNNNNNNNNNNNNNNNNNNNNNNNNNNNNNNNNNNNNNNNNNNNNNNNNNNNNNNNNNNNNNNNNNNNNNNNNNNNNNNNNNNNNNNNNNNNNNNNNNNNNNNNNNNNNNNNNNNNNNNNNNNNNNNNNNNNNNNNNNNNNNNNNNNNNNNNNNNNNNNNNNNNNNNNNNNNNNNNNNNNNNNNNNNNNNNNNNNNNNNNNNNNNNNNNNNNNNNNNNNNNNNNNNNNNNNNNNNNNNNNNNNNNNNNNNNNNNNNNNNNNNNNNNNNNNNNNNNNNNNNNNNNNNNNNNNNNNNNNNNNNNNNNNNNNNNNNNNNNNNNNNNNNNNNNNNNNNNNNNNNNNNNNNNNNNNNNNNNNNNNNNNNNNNNNNNNNNNNNNNNNNNNNNNNNNNNNNNNNNNNNNNNNNNNNNNNNNNNNNNNNNNNNNCGAGUAUGUGUUGACAUUAGAAGGUGAAUAGUGACACGUCAGUCAUGUGGGCUCGGCUACACAAAAGUCAUUCCCUUUUCCCAUCCACUAUGUCGUGUGCAAAACAACUAUACCGACAGAAAAUAUAGUGGUUUUAUUUGCUUGUGCAAUAUUAAUUUGUCGAUAUCUUUUGAAUAAAAACUUCAUUUAAUUAUUAUUUUUUAAAAUUGAGUUCAAGAUGACGAGAUCUAUAAAAACAAUAUUAAUUUUGAAUAUAUUUUAAACAUGUCUAAAUUUCAUGAAACAUAUUUCACACAUUGCUAAAAAACUAAUUUCACUAGUUUAUUUCACUCAUUUAAAAAUAAACAGAUGUUGCUCCUUUCAAAAAUCUGAUUUUACUCAGUUCAAAAUGAUAAUUUCACUCAUUUCAAAUAACAGAUAUCACUGAUUUCAAAAUACCGAUUUUACACAAUUCAAAAUUGUAUUACACUCAUUUUAAAAUACCGAUUUCACUCAAUUAAAAAAUCACUCAUUUUUAAACAAUGGUUUCACUGAUUUUAGAAAACUGAUUUCAUCAUUUCAAAAACAUUUUACACUCAUUUCAAAACAAUGUUUUAAAUCCAAAAAAUAUUUUCGCUCAUUAAAAAGAACUUAUUCAACCAUUUUAAAAAUAAUUUCACUCAUUAAAAAAACUAAUUUCAAACACUAAAAAUAGAUUGAGUGAAAAAUGGAAUGAAACGUUCAAAUUUUAACGUGUUUGAAAAGCAUUUAAGAUUGAUCUUGUUCUGGAGGUCUUGGUGCAGGAGUUCAAAUGUGCAGGAAGUUUUAAAAACAUAAUUUUGGUUUUGAAGAUAUGAAUCAUCUAAAAUGUAAGAAAUAAAUUAAAUUGAUAGAUUUUGAGAGGGGAGAGGAGAUGUAACGUGAGAGGAGCUUUGUUAUAUCUAAGUGGGUAUAACUCACCGAAUGGGUCGUGGCCUGCCCAGAUAUUUUUUCGGCCAUAGAACACAAGCCCGUUAAAUAUUUCUGUCUGCUAGCCCACCUAGCUAUUUGUGGCGGAGUACAGCAAGGCCGAAUGGGUCGUAGCUCGCCCAGAUCAUGAGAUUUUAUCUAAUGUAUACCUAUUUUGGGCCGCCCAGGUUAUUCUCUAAUGUAUAACCUAUUUUGGGCCAUAGAAUACAAGCCUAGUACUUAUUUCUGUACGCCGGUCGGCCCAGCUAUUUGAGUUCCGCCACUCGAGCAGAGAUGGUGGUGAACUGUUCACUAGAGGGCUGUGGCGCCACGAUCAACCGAAAUCACUAAUUGAGGAGUAUUCCUUACAAAGAUCACUCCCGCCUCGUCGGGUUGUGACAAGUGGCAUGCUGCAUGUGCGUCAUUUGUCGCAACCUGAGAGUUUUCUUUUUUCGUAGAUCCGUUUGUUCAAAACGUUUUAUCUAUAAAACCACGCGUCCAAAUCUUGAACCGUUUUCGUCGUUGGAUUCCUCGGGCCGAGAUCUUCAAAACUAGAUCCCAUGUUAAUAGGUUUUGACGAACUUUUUUUCACAGAAAAUAUAGUAUGAAAAAACCAAACUAGGAGCAUGAAAAAAGCCGUGCCUCUCGCGGAAGAAAAAAAACAGAAAACUUGUUUUUUCCCAAGAGGCACGGUCGCGAAAGUAAAACCGUGCCUCUCUCGGAAGAAACUAAAACAGAAAAUACGUUUUUUUUUCGUUUCCGAGAGGCAUGGAUGUGCCUCUCGCAGAAGCAAAACUGUGCCUCUCGCGAAAGCAAAAAAAUGCGUUUUUUCGCUAAAUUUUUUUCCAACAUCUAAGGAAGACCGGUGGAAAAUCAAAAGGUCGAAAAAAUGAAAAAAAGUUUAAAAAGCCGAAACGCAUGCGAAAAAAUAAAUAAAUAAUCCGGAGGGUGGCGCGCUCUCAACCCACCCGCAAGUGAUCGUUGCAAGCCUCAGCGCUCGUCAACUAGUUCCUCCCUCAACACGGUCAACCCCUAGUGUAUUCAUACAGUAAAGCAGCACUACAAAUCGAUGUCAGGUUUCUAAAUAUGGCAAAUCAAAUAUUUUUAUGGCAAAUUACUUAUCGCGGGUCUGGCAGUUCCUUUCAGCAAGCAUGGUAAAUCCUAUGUCAAGAUUUAUCAUGCUUGCUGAACGAAAUUGACAUGGUCGUGACAAAUAAUUUGCCAUAAAAAAUAUUCGACUUGCUAUGCUUACAAAUUUGACGUCAAUUUUUUUUAGCAUUUUUUAUAAAAAAAAUGUAAGUGAAUCCUUUACAAGGACAGUAGAUUGGACUUUUUUUACGCACAACGAAAUCUUCAAUUUCAUCAAGAAAGUGGCAAACUUUUUAUUACACCAGGAGACGCCAUGACGAUUAACAACAACGGUAGGAAAAAAAAACAGAACCGGUGCAAACAAAACACACAUACGUGCAGGCAGGCCAGUGGACUUGCACUUGUAAACCCCUGCAGCCACAGAAGAAGUAAAUUGCGACGAACUGGAUCAGACACAGGAACACAGAACGAGGCAUGCAUCAGCGCCGUCUCAGGUCCAAGCUCGCACUCGAUCGUCGUCGAUCAGUACCGCGCGUCGCCCGUCCGGCUCUGCUGGUAGUCGCUGUGCUCGCCGUACUGGCUGCGCUGGUAGUUGCUGCCGCCGUCGCUCGCGUCGGCGUACUGGUCGCGCUGGUAGUUGUGGAUGUCGCUGCUGCCGUCGCGCGCCUCGCCGGACCGCGGCUGCUGCUGGUUCUGCGCGGCAGCGGCGCCGGCGCCGGCGCCGUUGGACGUGGGCGGGCGCUGCAGGCUCUUGACGUACGCCCAGGCCUCCCGCUGCGAGACCUUGUCCCACCAGCGGCUGACGUUCUUGCGGCGCUGGAACAUGCGGCGGGAGCGCGGGUCGGCGGCGAGGCGGUCGGCGUUGGGCAGGUGCGACAGGUCGGCGAUGGUGAACUUGUCGCCGGCCAGGUACUCCGCCUCCUCCAGGCGCUGCUCGUAGAUGUCCAGCAGCUUCUCCAGCUCCCUCUGGCUCUUCUCGAACAUCUUCCGCAUCUCCUCCUCCUUGGCCGCCCCCGCCGCCGUCACGCGCUUCGCCGACGCGUUCACCACGGCCCUAGUGCCAUUAUUGCCGUUGCCGUUGCCGUCGCCGUCGUCGUUGUUGAGCUUCUGCGGCAUGGCGGGCGGCAGGAAGGCGAGGCUGUAGACCAUCUGGGCGCUGGGCUCGUCGAAGCUCUGCGCCUCGGUCUGCAGCCACUGCUCGAUGGACGCGCGCUCCAGCGCCCCCGUGCCGAUCAGGUCCGGGUUGCCCUGCAUGGCGUACUUGUGCGAGAUGUGCCGCAGGAUGCCCCGCGACUCUGCAUGCAGCACACAUGGGUACCAUCGUCAGAAACCAUCGUGAACCAUGCGUCUACCACCAUCGCCGACCGCCGCUUAGAGCUUAGAGGAGCUUACCGGAGAGGGUGAGGCUGCCGUCCUCGAAGGUGAGCGCCUCGCCGAGGGGCUGGAGCUUGAGGUACUGGGGCAUGCGCUUGGGGCCGCGGUAGGCGUCGACGCGGAUCAGCUGGAACUCCACGUCCUUCUCGAACAGGCACAUGAGCACGCGCGCCACCUCCGCCGACAUCGGCGACCCGAACACCUUCACGCUCGCCAUUGUUAUGCACUCGACCGGAGUGUGAAGCGAAAGCUCGGGACUAAAUUGGAACGCUGCAAAGGUAUGAGCGAUGCCUGGUUUGGAUUGCUGUGUAGUGUGCUUAUAUAGUUGCCAAAGCAAGGGAACAAAAUGCCUUGCUUGUCGAAGGGUAAAUCUAAAGCCUGGAAAAAUCAAAGGGGAAAAAGAGGUAAAGAGCAAAGGGUUUAAGGUGGGUGGGCGCCAAAGGGAAAGGGGAGGGUUAUCUAUGUCACUCACAAGAUUGUCUGGUGUUUCAGUGUGUGUGUGGCACUGCCAUGGCACGGCAGCAUGGAUGCAUGAGUGUACCCACAAGCAAAAUGAGUGUGGGCAUUGAGCAAGAUCUGGAGAUUUAUCAUAAGAGAGAAAAUGUAAAAGCAGAGAAAACAGAGGCCUGUUUUUGUUCAAAGAUAUCCCGCUUAUGUAUGAACAUUGGAGUGUCAAGUGCAGCCUUUGAUCUUUACUAUAUGUGCUAACCUCUUAACAAGCACUAAUAGAGAUAAUGGAAGUACUAUGGGCAGAUGGAAAUAGCACCGUACCACGUGCAUCUAUGAUCAGAAUCUUAUGACAUGACUGAUACAAACCCCGUUAAGCAAGCAAGGGACAAAAGAUAAGGACCAUUGCCAAUAUUCAUUCAGGGGAAAAGAAACGAAAAAGGACUGCCAAUAAAACUUGUAGCGUCUGCCUUAUACAAAUAAGGUGUUUAAAAAAAUAAACCGAAUUUUUUUUGAAGCACUGACGCCUAUUUCUAUAGGAGAGACGCCCAAUUAAGCGUCUGCCUUAUACAAAUAAGCACCGGUGCUUAAGGAAAGCCUGGUUUAUUUCUUCAAGCGCCUCUCCUAAGCACCUUGCAUUGUACAAGGCCUAACGGAUGCACUACCUAGCGGAGUGGCUAUACAUCCCCAUACAUUUGAGUUAUAUUUGUGUCUUUUUUGGGUUUGUUAUUUGACAGCAUGUGUACGUUGUGGACACUCGGUGGCACAAUUUCUUUGGUGCUUUCUCCAUAAGCCUCUGGGGCCUGAUUGAGAGGCCCCAGACAUGGUCUGGUUACUUCAAACCCGGGCCAACCAGACCGGGAGGAGGAGACAUCCCUUCUGGCUUGUGUUCGUGGUGUUAGCAUGGGCCAUGUCGACGUUGUGGACACUCGGUGGCACAAUUUCUUUGGUGCUUUCUCCGUAAGCCUCUGGGGCCUGAUUGAGAGGCCCCAGACAUGGUCUGGUUACUUCAAACCCGGGCCAACCAGACCGGGAGGAGGAGACAUCCCUUCUGGCUUGUGUUCGUGGUGUUAGCAUGGGCCAUGUCGACCACACGCAACAAGAUGAUUAUUGAGCGGGUCUUUCAUAGGUUGGCCCCUGACUCUACCUUCAAAUUCCUCGCAUUAUUGCACCACUGACACCCGUUAUCUAGACAGAGGGGUCGCGACCGGCUUGGCCGCAUGAUGGACGAGAUGACUGAUACUGCACGCUGACUUACUCAUCACAGAGUUCCUGAGCUCCCGGACACUUGAUGGUCGUCUCCCCUUUUUCUUUUGAGGGCUUUUACAGUACCCUGAAAUGAUCAAGGACCGUCCAUUUUCGUCAAUCUGAUGGUCCUUACGAUGUGGUACUCCACAACUAAUCUUACGGAGUACAAAACCAAAAGCGCGUGGAGUACCUCGACUUGAAGGGUAUUUGGGUCUUUCAUUUUUAUAUUUAAUCCUGGAUGAAAAUGAGUCAACUUGCCUCGACCUAACCUAAACGAUUCGUACCGCGCUCGUCCCUCCAGCGCCGGCCUCUCCCUCACCCACGCGACCAACGGCGCCGCGACGACCAACGGAGGCGGCGCCUCCUUCUCCACUCGGGCGCUGACCUCUCCCUCCACCACACGGCCAACAGAGAGGAGCGGGACAGGCGGAGGCGGGGUCCACGACGGCCGUCGUUGGCGAGGCGCACAUCUCCUCCUAAUCGUCCCCUCCUUCUCCGGUGGGGAGGACACAGGCCGACACCCUCGUAGCUGUACAAGCGGCCUCAGCCAGUGUUUGUCCAUGUCUAUGGCCUUCGGGGUUCUAAUCCGCGGACGUCGUCAAUUUCGUAGAUCCCCACUCAAAGAAGCUCGUUUCUGAAUCAAUCUCCCGAUGUAUAUGAACUAUCAGGUUUUCUUUUUCUUUUUUUACCAACGAAUCUAGAAGAAUGAAAAUGUCUAGAAAUUGAACGUGCCGAGAUAAUCAUUGGGCAGGGGACAUUGACAAAUGUUUUAUGCAAGGAGGACUAGCAAAAAGUCUAAAUUACCCCUGUAAAUGGACGGUUUGAUUCAACCGGUACUCCUAUCCUUCCAACGGGAGUACCAGGGUACCGUAAAAGUGCUCUUUCUUUUAUGUUUUCUGGGCAUGUUUGUGCUGAUGCCUCAGCUGACUCUAUUAUCUUCUUUGCUGCACUUGAACUUAUUGUAUAGAUGUGAUAUGGUUGCUUUAUUUAUAAAGCGAAGCAACAACCUGUUUCGAGAGUGUUGUGAACACCACCAACGUUCUCUCUCUCUCUCUCUCUCUCUCUCUCUCUCUCUCACACACACACACACACACACACACACAAUUGCAUCGCCAAACCUUUACUAACGUGAAAAUAAUCUUUAAAACAAGUUCAUUUGUGUUACAAAAAAAUCAAAUAUUUUUCUUUGGGUAGGUUUCAAUUUUUUGUUGAUGAAUGUUCCAUUAAUUCAGUGAAAUUUUCAAGAAAGUAAUAUCUUUUAUUCGUGCGUAAUUAGCAUGUUAUUAUGUCACUAAGGAUCUUACUCUAGUUAUUAUGUAUAAUUAGCAUGAAAAUCAAAGUCAAAAAACAUGAAUUUUAAAAGGAGGUAUACUUAGCAUGUUAUUAUGUCAAAUCAAAGUCAAACAACAUGAAAAUGUAUAAUUAGCAUGUUAUUAUGUUACUAAAGAUCUUACUCUUGUUUUCCGUGCGUGUGAAUUUUGAAAGGAGGUCCAUUUGGAUUGUAAAAUGCAUGUGUUUUUAGCUCUUAAACUAAGGCAAAAGAAACAAAAAAUCCAAUUUUUCUUUGCUACAUUCCUUUGAACCAAAGGCUUGAAUAAUGUCACCGUAGGAAAAAAAACUAUUCCUAUGUGUUUUCUACACUUUUCCUUUGAACCAUAGGAGGCCUUGAUCUACUAGUAUUCACAUAUAUUCCAUUGGAAGAGUUUGCGUGUAUUACUUGGUCAGUCAUCCAAAUAGCGUCCAAUUAUGGCCACUCACAAGUGUUGCAAAAUAUUUUUGGUCAUUGGUUGGACGGUAUUUCAAAUAGGGUCAGUACAUUAUUACAGGUGGAAGUGUGUGGCUUAUUAUGAUCGCUUUGGCUACUUGAUUUCUAAUAGCAUAAACUAUUCUUCUUUGCAAGUUAUUUUCAGUUGUACGGACUCGCUUUAUAUGUGGUAUACGCUACACCGAACAAAGUAACAACCGCUAUUCAAGGCGGUGUGUAUGCGAUGGGAGUGGGUGAUAAGGGAGGUUAUUACCCAACAUGGCAGACAACAUAAUCUCCGAUCGGUCUACCGCCUUCUUCGACAUAGGUCUAUGUCGGUCCUAUAUGACUCUAUUGUUGCCGAUAUGUCGGUUUUUUUGUCAGACAUUUAGUGUUUGGUUGUGAGCAUGUUAGUUAUGCAGAGGUCGGGGUUACUCAUCAUACUUUGUAUCCGCUUGAUACUAUAUUUAAAUUUAAUAAAAGAGUCCUUUAUUGAAAAAAAAAACAGGUAAAAAUGUUUCUAUAUGCGCAAUUUGAGAUUUCUUGCGCUCAUUGGGUCAAUGUCAUCAUGCAACAUCAAAAUAUGUCAUCUGCGUAUUAGAACAUGCAUAUUAAUGCCUCCAUCUACAAAGUAGGCUCCUGCAAAAUCAAGUCACAUGUAGAUGUAGGACAAACGAGCAAUAAGGCUCGAUUGGGAACAAUUUAUUUGUUGAACUGAAAGCAACUGAGCAUUACAACCCCUUGGAAGGACAAUGGUGUUGCAAUAAUGGAAGAAAUUACGAGAGACACCGCGCGCUUUAGGGCUUCACAUUAUUUUAGCCAACACGACAACGAACGAACGAACGUAGACGAGAGGGACCUUGACGACGGAGACAUCACGGUAUGAAGCCCGAUGGAAGAUUCAUGCAUGCAUGUUGCCGAUCGACGACAGACGACGAUCAAGCUCGCCGUCGCCGAUCACUCGAAGGUGCCGGGGUGCUCGUGCUGCAUCUUGACCACCUGCUGCCACGAGGGGCGGCUGGAGAUGGCGUCGUACCACCUGGCCACGUGCCUCUUGGAGGUGAAGAGCUUCCUGCCCCGCUGGGAGCCGGCGAUGUAGUGGGAGGCCGGCAGGUGGGAGAGGUCGGCGAGCGUGAACUCGUCGCCGGCGAGGUACUGGUUCUUGGCGAGGAUCUCGUCGUAGACGCCGAGCAUCUGCUGCAGCUUCCGCUCGUUCUCCGCGAUGCGGGCCUCGUCGGGGAGCAUGUUGAGCUGCGGCGCGAAGGCCAGGUGGAAGACGAGCUCCGAGCUCGGGGCGUCGAAGCUCUGGGCCUCCGCCUGGAGCCACUGCUCGAUGGACGCGCGCUCCAGCGACCCCGUGCCGUAGAUCCCGCGGUUGCCGUCCUCCGGGAACUGGGUGCACAGGUACCGGCAUAUCGCCCUUGAAUCUGCAUGCCACGAGAAGAGAAGAGAAGAACCACAUUGUGUAAUUAAAUUCCCCAAUCAAGUGGUCGGUGUGCUGUUUUGUUCAGAAUUAACUCUGCUUCUUACCAACAAGGGUCUUGUCACCAUGCUUGAAGGUCACCUGCCCGGUAGGAUCCUGCAGACCGAGACAGGCGAUCCACAACGGUGAGAGUGAGAUUAUACAUGAUCAAACCCAAAUUAGCUGAUUAAGAAAGUGCACCACGGAUUGCAAUGGCAGGGAUGAUAUAUACGCACCCUUAGCUUGAUGAACUCGGGCAGCUUGUGCUCCCUCUUGAAGGUGUCGAUGCGGACGAGCUCGAACUCGAGGUUCUUCUCGAAGAGGCAGGUGAGCACCCGGGCCACGUCAGUCGACGCCGGCUGCCCGAACACCUGCAGACCGGCCGCCAUUGCUUCAAAUUUCUUGGUGAGAGGUCUCUAGCUUCGACCGAUCUGCAGGCCGGUGAUCAGUGAGUGAGUGAGUGAAGCGACUGGCUGCUGAUGGAGACCAUAGGAUCCAUGGCCAGGCGUUUUAUAGCUAGCGAUGAGACAGCAAAUAUGCUUGCCUUGCCGCAGAGGAUUACCGGCGAAAGCGAAAGCUGCCAAAGGUAAGUAAAGAGGAGAGCCCAUACGCCCGGCCGGAUCCUUUUGGAGGUGCCAUGCAUCUUGUCUCCAGCAAGGAACAAAACAACCAUGGAUCUCCUCCAUGUUGUCUCCGGCAAGGGCGAUCGGCCAUCGAACCUUUAGCAGAUGUGGUAUGUGACCAGCACGAAAGAUAUGCUCAUCAGAUCGGAUUACUAGAUUAGAUAAAUGGCAAAGCAUUGGGGCUACAUGGUAGAUCCUUGUACGGGCACGAGUGCCUGCCAAGCAAGGGAUCAGGGCUUGCAGUUGCAAAUUGGCCGCGGAAGAUGCGUCGCCGGACAAGCCAAGGCUUUUUGGUCGAUCCAAACCAGGCAGCGUGUUCACUAAGGUGCGUGCGUUCGGUUAGAAAUUAUACAAGGACGUCGCGCUGAUUCGAUCUGCCGUGGCGCCCGCCUUUGCGUGUCAGGUGGCUCAACAGUAGAUUUAUGUCCCAACCCAAGAAUACAUACGAGUGAACAGGAGCUAAGUUUGAGCUUUCAUACUUAAUUCUUGUAAUAUUUUUUUUCGAUUUUGCUAACCUCGGGUGCUUGAAUUUUUUUUCCUCGUGUCGGACAAUUUCUGCUUUGCACGGGGCUGAAGGUGGGGGCAACGUGAGGAGCGGCAGCUACAACCGUUGAUGAGGCGCAAACUAGCGAGAUGCUAAUUCGCACGUGUAGAUGGCCCGAUCUUUCACAACGAUGCUUGAUUAACAGUCCGUCCCCCUGUUCCUCCUCGCAACCUCAAAGAAUAAUUUUCACCCACGUACAAAAAUACAUGAACAAAAAUAAUGAUCCCCUUGGAUCAGCACGUAGGCAUCGAUGUGAUGAUCAACCCUCCGUCGUUAGCAAAUUUUCACGAUGGGAAAAUCACAGAUGAUACACAAGAUAUGGUCGCCCAAAACCUGGACGUUUUACUGUGUUGUUCAUAACUCAUGAAUAAACUCAAAACUACCCUUCCCGUACAUGGCCGAAGCUUGGCUUUUAUAUCCCAUAAAAAUAACGCACGCGCUAGAAUACCUAACUAGCUAGACUCCCGUACAAGACUCCUAGGAAGCCACGCUAAUGUUUCCACCUGAUUUUAUGCCAACUAAUAUACGCACCAACAACUUGGAUAUCUAUUCAAAUAGAAAAAAAAAACUACCUAAAAUAACAAUCUCUCUCCUGAUUUGAUGGAGAUUAGGAAAGAACCUAAUCUUAUUUUCCCUGGUGGUGUACGGAAGGUAGGGAUAAUCUCCUCCAGUACCGGUUCAUGAUUCGCAUGUAACCCAUCGGGCCUUCCUGUGCGCACAAGUCCAUGUGAAUAGCUUUUCAUGCAGCAUGCUUUAUUCAAAUAUACUCCUGUAUCACUUUGAUUUAUCCUCAUGCACUUGUGACGUGUAUCAUUCGAGCAAUCACGUUUUGACGUACAACUAGCUAGGCCGGCCACACCAGGUCCACAUAGCUGACGCACACGAUCAUCCUUUCCUCGAUGAAAUAUGGCUGCAUUUUCAACAACUUGUUUAUGACUUAAUUCUUUUACUGAUUCAACUUGCAUAGCACUAUCAUCUGUUGGUACGUGUGACGAUAUCGUGUCCGUAUCAACCGUCGGCCACACCAGGACCGCGCCGGAGCCGAGGAUGACGUUGUGAGCACUGCAGCUCGUGGCCGAGUUCAACGACUGCAUUGUGACUAUAGGCCUUAGGGAGUUGGAUCGGGUGGGUCCAGAUUCACCUGGAUGAAUAAGCAGGCCGUCCCAGUUAUGAGUGUUCUGGACUAGGUCCCGAUGUCCAGGGACUAGGAAAGUAGGUUCCCUCUCGCGUCACUCCGGGCAGUGACCCGGAUUGGUUGGGACCAUGUUUCGUUAUUGAUCUCUUCCGGGAGGACUCGCCUCGAGUUAGAAGAAGUUGUUUUUCGUGAUUGUUCUCUAUAGUAUUGAUCUACAUGGAUCUAUGGACUUCCCCAUAGAUCCAUGUCGGUUCUGGAUACGGUGGCACCACUGCACGAGUAGGUACGCCCUGAAAACUGUUUGAUGUCUAUUUUUCAGGACGAGUAGACUUAUUGGCGCCUUUGAGGACGAGCAAACUGGACCUUGCAGAGAGACUUGAACAUGGCUUAUUUCCAGGCAACUGCGAAUUGCUGCACGAGGCGCGCAAUGAUUGCAGCCUUGUGGGGCUCUCGGCUCCUUUUAGAUAACGAAGACAUUCGGGCCCACAUCGAUGGAUUUUGUGAGUUAUUUACGGGCUAGCCUUGGAUUGGGGUCAGCCUCGGGCCGAGUGUUUGGGUUACGUGAUCUAAGGUGUUCGGGGCAGGAAACCUUAGCCUCAUUGCACCCUUCUUCAGGACCUGAUGGUCCGUCGGUUCGCUUCUUCCAGAAAUUCUGGAAGGACGUCAAAUGGGUGGUGAUGGCGAUCUUCCAAGAUUUCUUCUUGGGGGUAAUAGAUGCCUCUCGCCUUAACUAUGGCGUGGUGACGUUGAUUCCCAAAGUGGUGGGGGUGACGGACAUUCGUCAGUUUAGGCCUAUCACGGUUUUAAAUGUGAUUUCCUUAUCUUGGCCAAGGUGCAUGCCAUUAGGGCGGCACCAGUGGUGGCGAGGGUAACCCAUCCCAAUCAAACGACAUUUAUUCAGGGUCGGCGGAUUCACGAUGGGGUCCUAGCACUACACGAGAUCAUUCAUGAAGUUAAGAUUAGACGCCACAAGGUGGUCUUCUUCAAGAUUGAUUUCCAUAAGGCCUACGAUAUGCUUAGUUGGGAUUUCCUUCGAGAAGCCCUUCACCGCAAAGGUUUUGAUGAUAGAUGGAUUACGAGGGUGAUGCAGUUAGUUUGCUAUGGGCGCACAACGAUCAACAUAAAAGGGGGAAAGUGGAACCUUCUUUUAAGUCCUCAAGGGGGGUGAGGCAAGGCGAUCCGAUGUCCCCUUUUUUUAUUUAACUUGGCAGUGGAUGCCCUUGCAGCCAUUUUGGAUGCUGCCAGAGGCACAAGCCACCUGUGCGGGGUUGUGCCCCACUUAAUUAGUGGCAGUGUUGUCUCGCUCCUGCAAUAUACAUAUAACACCAUCAUUAUGGUGGAAGGAACCUCUGAGGACAUUAGCAACCUCAAGUUCCUUCUACUCUGCUUUCAGGAAAUGCCUGGCAUGGCUAUUAACUUUGCCAAAAACGAAGUGUUGGUGAUGGGAUACUCCGAGCUGAAGAAGUCCAGCGCAAACCGCCUAAAUUGUCAUUUGGGCUCCUUCCCGACCGCUUACUUAGGUCUCGCGGCUAAUGACGGUUGGAUUGGCAUGAAGGAGCUCCAACAUGUGGUGGAUAAGGUGGAACAUAGGGUUGACCCUUGGCAGAGCAGGUUGACUUCCAAGGCCAGCAAACCUGUGCUCAUCUUUUCGUCCUUGGCGAGCUUUCCGUUGUUUGCUAUGGGCCUAUACCUCUUUCCUUAAGCGGCCCAUGCGGAUUUUUACAAAUUCCAAUAUCGGUUCUUCUGGAAAGGGGAGGCUGGUAAACAGAAGUACCACAUGGUCAAGUAGAGAGACAUUUGUAUGCCGAAGGACCAGGGGUCUAGGCAUUACUUCCACCAGGCGGAUGAAUAUUUUCCUUAUGACUAAAUGGAUAUGGCACGUUGUGCAGGAUGAUGGGGGUCUGUGGCUGGACUUGAUUAAGGUGAAAUACUUUCGUGGCUAGUCCUUCACCAUGUGUGCUCAGUCCAAGGAGUCUCAAUUUUGGCAAACAAUUCAAGCUCUUAAGCCGUGCUUUCGGUUAGGAGCCUCGGUGUCAGUUGGGAGGGGUACUGACACCCUUUUUGGCUUGAUUGUUGGGUUGGAACACGGCCUCUACAGGAACAAUUCCCAUCACAGUUCGCUAUCUCAAACCAACCUUCAAUCUCGGAGGCCUCAGCGGUCCAAGAGGAGGCCAGUUCGUUGUCAUUCCGAAGAUCCUUUGGUUCCAGUGAGUCCGCAUAGUGGCUACUGUUCGCAGAUGUCAUUGUGGCCACUAGCCUUCCGGACCGGCGCAAUGUCACGUCUUGGAGCCUUGACCCCUCUGCUCCUUUUUCUUCGAAGUCCCUACAUGAUCGAUUGGCGGCGAGUCGGGGACCAGAAGAGUUAUCAAAUAUUUGGAAGACGAAACUCCCGCCAAAAAUAAAGAUCUUGUGGCAGCUUGUUAGGGGCCAGCUACCUUCGGCGGACCAAGUUCAUAAACAUAAUGGACCGGGGAGUGAGAUUUUCCCUCUUUGCGAUGUAGAGGAUCUCAAUCAUAUAUUCUUCUAUUGUAUCUCCCCCCAAUUUUUGUGGGGUUGCUUCCGGGAGGUGUGGGACAAUAGGUGGUGUCUGACCAACUUCUCCGAGUUCUACCUGCUCUUGGUUGGGUGCUCGGGCAGGUUUGCAGAUUGACAUGGGUCAAUUUUGGGACCUUGGCGUGGUCAUUAUGGUGUAUUAGAAAUAAGCUAGUUAUCGAGCACAUAUACCCUAACAGGACCACUGACGCUAUCUAUAAAAUGUGUAGUUUCUUGCAGCUGUGGAAACAACUUUGCAAGUGGCGGGAUAGAUCGGCAGUGGACCAGCUGAUGAAGAGAUAUAAGGAGUUGGCGAGCCGUCUCUUGAUGAUCACUUACCCUCCUUGAGGAUGUAUCUAUUUAUUUAUGUCUGGGCUUGUUGUGCUAUGCAUGCAGCAUAGACCUCUCUCUUUUCUCUUGUUUGCCUUUGUAUAUCUCCUCGUGGACCUCCGUAUGUGUGGUUGGGUUGUAUCGUGGUUUGAGCUUUUAUCUAUAAAGCAGGGUGUGAAGCCUUUUUCGGUACAAGCUGCAGCGUCCCAGGUGGAGGCAAAAACUUCACCCAGGGGGUCGCGGGGGGUCAUUGGGGUUCCUGCGCCGGUGGAGGGAUGACCGGGGCAGUGGCCAGCGACGGCGGUGGAGCGAGGUUGAGGGAGGGGCGGGGCAGUGAAGCGGUAUGCAGUAUCGCCCGCCGGCCGCGGGUGGUGGAGCCGCGCUUGGUACGCGGUGCAGUUGUUCACACAUCUCUCAGUAUAAACAUUAAAGUUGUAAAACUAGCGGAAUGUUUUGUGCAAAUGCAAAGACAUCAGGUACAGAGAUAAUUUAAAGAGGUCUUUAAUUUAAACUACAGUUCAUUAAUUGCAAGACUCUCCCUGAAAUACGCGGUUCCUGGCCGGUGGGCCUGGCCUGCGCGAAGGGGGGGGGGCGACGCGCGGUAAUAUGCAACCGGGAUGCAAGUUGAUAGAAAACCUAAAUACAACAACGUUUGCAAACUAGAACUAACUGAAAAUGAAAGUAGUGCAAAUACACCUAAUAAAAGAUCAACUUCCUUCUGUAAACAAAACUGUACAUGUGAAAAACAAACAGAUAAUUUUAUUCAGUAGAUAACACAUCACAAUGUACAUAACACAUCACGGCGCAAUGUUCAGGGCAAAAGCAUUUUAAACAGCGCAAUGUACAUAACACAUCACGGCUCAUAUUAUUCUGGUUCACAAGAAAACGUGGAUGAGGAUUCGGUAAACGACGACAGCACAAGUAGCAAUGAUGACCAAAGAACACAUGAAAGUAAGAUCGAUAAACGUAGAGAGCUCUUCAAGAUGAACUCAAAAUACUUGCUUGCCACCACCAAGGCGUUACUCAAAGGCACCAGGAUGCUCCAUCUGCAUCUUGACAACCUGCUCCCACGCCUUGCGGCUCGAGAUUUGGUCAAACCACCUCGCCACAUUCUUCCUGGAGGUGAAGAGCUUCAUCCCCCUCUCCGAGCUCACAAGGUACUGCGAGUCCGGAAGAUGAGAGAGGUCAGCCAGGGUGAACUCGUCGCCAGCCAGGUACUCAUUCUUCGAGAGUAUUUCGUCGUAAACAUUGAGGACUUGCUGAAGCUUCCUCUCAUUCUCUGCAAUGACCAUGUGGUCCUGAGGGAUUUCCAGAAGAGGAGCAAAUGCCAGCUGAAACACGAGGGCCGAGCUGGGAGGGUUGAAGCUCUGAGCCUCUGCUUGCAGCCACUGUUCUAUUGAUGCCCGUUCCAGAGAGCCAGUCCCAUAGAGGUUCCUGUUUCCCUGGUUUGGGAACUGGGUACAGAGGUACCGGCAAAUAGCCCUUGGGUCUGCACAGAAGGUUCACGUUGCAUUUCAGCCCUUUAAACAAUGUGAAUCCAGAAAUGUAAUGUGAUGACUGUUAAUGUUCUCCUUACCGACAAGAGUCUUGUCACCAUGCUUGAAUGUCACUUGUCCACUUGGAUCCUGCAAAAGGAUGAAUGGAAAAAUUAGUACAUGCUUUAACUAAUUCAAGAUUUUUUGAAACUGAAUAAAAAGUGAUCGAAGCCUCCUACGCGCAGCCUGAUGAACUCAGGAAGCUUGUGCUGCCUCUUGAAUGUGUCGAUGCGGACGAGAUCAAACUCCAAAUUCUUCUCAAAGAGGCAUGUCAGAACCCUGGCAACAUCGGUGGAUGCUGGCUGGCCAAACACUUGCAAGCCUGAAGCCAUCCUUUCUCUUUGGCUUGAUUGAUCUCUUUGUCAGGCUAUGCAAUGGCAAUGAGCAAUGGUGACAGCAUGUUUCAAUGCAAGGUAUUUGAAGAAAGAAAAGGUGGAAUUCCAUACUUGCCUUGCUCUUGCUACCUAGCACAAUAUUUUACAAUUGGAAAGGGAAAGUGUAAAGAGAAAGUGUGGUUCUGGAUUCUUGCUUGCAGCAAUCAUAGUGUCUGUUGUAGCAAACAAGCCCUGCAAAAUAUAUAGCAUCGUUUAUGUACAAUCCAGUCUUUGAUUACUUGACUGAGAAAAAGCAAUAUAUGAGGAGCUCGUGAUGUUGUAUGGAUGGUUUGGGAUAAUUGAUGGAGAGAAUUUGGCUUGGAUAAGUGAGAAGACUGGCAUCAAGUACCAGCAGUAACGAAGAUCUGAUGAUUUCUGUCAGAGUACAAGAAUAAUUAUUUCGAUAAAAGAAACGUCCACCGUAUGGAGUCACUAGUCAGGUAUAUGUUUAUAAUCCAGUCUUUGAUAACUUGACUGAGAGAAAAAAAACAGUAUGUGAGGAGCUCAUGAUGUUGCAUGGAUGGUUUUGGACAAUUGAUAGAUAGAAUUUGGCUAGGAUAAGUAAGAAGAUUGGCAUCAAGUACCAGCUGUGAUGAAUCUGAUGGCUUCUGUCAGGGUACAAGAAUAAAAAUUUCGACAUAAAGUAAUGUCUCCCAUAUGGAGUCAGGUAUAAUUCAACCGUUGGUCUGAUGGAAGGAAAAACAUACUGGGAUUGCAUCCCCAAUAUGUUCUAUAUGGUAGAAGAACAGAACUGAUUUAUCAGGAGUAGUGCCUGUAAAAUGGCAAGCUGAAUUCAGUUGCUUAAGUUUUACAUAUUACUCCCUCUGUCCCAUAAUAUUUGACACUACACUAGUGUAAAAAACGUUCUUAUAUUAUGGGACGGAGGGAGUAGAAUACUAUGAAGAGGCAAAAUAAGAAACUGCCAGAAUGCAUUAACCCAGGUGAUAAUCAGCACGUCAUCCUGAGCGUUUAGCUUGCACAUCAGCCAGUAAUACUAUCAGGCAUGGAUAAGUAGAAGGUUGGCAUCAAGUACCAGAAGUAACGAAGAUCUGAUGACUUCUGUCAGAGUGCAAGAAUAUAUUUUUCGACAAAAGCAACAUCCCCCAUAUGGAGGCAGGUAUAUUUGAACCGUUCAGCUGAUGGAAGGAAAAUAAAAGGGAAUCUUUGAAUGUGCUUAGCUUUCAAUCCCAGUAUGUUUCAUUUGGUAGAACAUAACUGAUUUAUCAGGAGUAGUGCCUGUAAAAUGACAAGAUGAAUUCAUUUGCUUAAGUUUUACAUAUUAUAUUACUUAUAAUAGUGUGAAGAGGCAAAAUAAGAAGCUGCCAAAAUGCAUUAACCCAAGUGAUAAAUCAGCAUCUCAUUUUGAGCAACUGAAAUAAGCAUUAUUUAGCUUGCACUUCAGCCAGUAAUACUAUCAGCUUAACAGACCGCAAAAUUCUUUGAACAGUUGUGCUGCCUUAAAUUUGCCAGAACUCUGUUUUUUAUCAAUAUUUCUCAUAGUCCACAAUGGAUUCAUCCAAGUAUGUCGAGAGGGCCAAAUACUACAAAUGACAACUCACAAUGCUGUUAUCUUCAAAUCAUAUACCUCAAUCCCACUGCUGCCAGUGAGACAAUAUAUGGAUCAACAAUGGAAUCAAGAUGUGUUACUCUUGCAUUAUACUCCUAGCUUAAGGCCUGGCUCAACAAUUUGAUGUUGUAUACUAGCACAUUUUUCUAUAGACUUGAUCAAACUUAAAUAAGUUUGACUUAGGACAAAGCUAGAACUUCAAAUAAUUUGGAAUGCAGAGAGUAAAAUUCAAUAAGUAAAGAGAUUUCAAGAAUGGACCACUGAAAGUAACAGGGUAGUAAACCGACAUCUCAUGGACAGAUUUAUGUGGAUUAUGGGAUGCAAUCGAGUUCCUACAGGCAACAGCACAGAAUUGAGAAACCAGAGGAACAUAUCCAACCAUGCAAACUCAAUAAUACCACAGAGAUAGAUAGCAGGAUAACAUAUUGUACAAAGCAGCCCGAGUCUUUCACAACACAAUAACAUUUAGGAGUGAUGGCAACACAUAACAGAAUGUGACUAAUUGCCACCAGAAGCUGCUCGGCUAAAAAAACUGAAGGGGCCCUCAAGCUUUAGAGGGCCGUGGUACACUCUGCAACUCGACAACCUUCUUCCAUGACGGACGAGCCGAGACCUCAUCCCACCAUCUGGACAGAUUCUUUCUCUCGGUGAUCAGACCCGCCUUGCCGGCCUUGCUCACGAGGAGAUCAGUGUUGGGCAUGUGCACAAGGUCGGCAAGGGUGAACUCGUCGCCGGCGAAAUACUGGCUCUCCGCCAGCCGCCGCUCAUACACGUCGAGCACCUUGGCGAGCUUCGCCUCAUUCUGCUCCACCACGGCCAUGUCGGUGGCCAUGCCCAUGAGAGGCGCGAAGGUGAGCUGGAAUGCGAUGGCCAAGCUCGGCGGGUUAAAUGCUUGGCCUUCGGACUCUACCCAUUGCUCGAUGGCAGCGCGGCCUACCGCGCCGUCUUCUUUCCGGCCUAGGAGAGUCUGGUUGCCACGGUCGGAGUACUGGUCACAGAUGUAACGGCAAAUGGCCCUUGACUCUGCCAAAAGAUGAACCAUACAGCAUGUGAACACAAACGACCAUUUACAGAUAUCUUUCUUUUCUUUCGCAUUCACAGACCAGUCAAUCAAUCAUCCAUUAACCUCCUUUCCGAAGAAAAGAAAUCAAUCAUCCACACAUAUGAACAUGCCAACACUGGAAUUUACCCUAAAUUCAGAAACUGGAUAAUAAUUACUGAUAAAAUGGAUACAGAUCUGAGUACAAUUUCCAUCUUUAUCAACGAAAGGCACUUGCAAUUGAUAGGGAAGCAAAGAAAGAUGUGAAGAAACUAGCUGAAGAAAUAGUUGAAGAGGUGGGGGAGGGAGUGGGUACCGACCGAAGACGGUGGUGAGGUGGUCUUUGAAGGCGGGGACCUGGCCGAAGGGCUGGAGCUUGAGGAAGGAGGGGGACUUGUGCUCGCCCUUGGACAUGUCCACCGCCUCGAGCUGGAACGGCACGUCCUUCUCCAGCAGGCACGCCGCCACGCGCGCCACCGCCGGCGAGAUCGCCGGCCCGUACACCGUCACGGGCGCCGCCAUCGCCGCUUCUCCAGAGACCUAGACGGGCGGACGGACGGGGGAUAGGUGGGUAGGAGAUAGCUAGUGUCAGAUGCUACCGCACAGCAAGAGCAUGACUCUGCCUGCGGCCAGCGGCCCGUAAAGGCAUCUCCAAAGCCACCCGCCACAUACACAAAUACAAAGGCCACCAUCUAAUGCUACCUGCAUUCAUUUAAAAAAAAUUAACCAACCAAACGAAAUUUGUGCAAACACGGUGAAUUUCAAAUGAACCGGACGACAUUCAUGCAAAUGAUGAAUUCUCAUUAGAUUUUGAACAUUUAGAAAAAAAAUAAAAAAUUGUAUCUACCCGACCCUAAACCUAUCCUACGGUGGUGUCCGUCGUCCAAGCCCUUGUCGUCCUCUAUCCGUCGUCUCCAUAAGCACCGGCGCUAAGACCGAUGAAUUGAAGUUGUGUUCUCCUGCGAGGAAGAGUAGAACAGACGGACCGACCCACAUGGACGCAAGGCCCUGCCGCCUCCGAUGCCAUAUUCAUCAUCAGAGGAGUCUGCGUCUUGUCCGUCGCCAGUGGACAUGAGGUCCACGAUGGAAAUGAUGGCGCUCGCGCUGUCAUCGUCUCACUGGGCGGCCGGAUAGUUCGUCGGCAGCGCGUAGGAGGCGUAGUUGGCGUUGUUCUCCUCCGCGGCGGUCGCUUCCUAGCGAGCGGCGGCUUAAGCGCAGAUGGCAUCGUAGAUGGCACGCUGCUCCGCGACAAAGUUGGGGUUCGUGGCGGACAUGGCCGCCAAGGCCUCCGUCAAUCGGUGCUGCUCCAGGAGGAAUAUGUUGUACCGUUGUUCCUACUGCGUCUGCUAGAACGCCAACGUAGGUGCUGACGCGGGCUCUCACCUCCGUCAUGGCGGUGUUAUGGUGCGCCUGCGCCUGCUCCAUCGCGAAGCCGGUGUGCACGGGCGCGGGCGCCGGUGUCUUCGGAGCCCAUCUCCAUGGUGGGGCCGUCCUCGUCGUCGGAGACCUCGGGCGAGCUGGUCGGCAAGCCGGCCUCGAUCCGCCUGGCACGGCGGCUCUGCUAGGCGACCGCAAGGGCGGCCACCUCUUGCUUCAUCUCCCUGGAAAGGCUCUACCACAGAGCUUCACCGCCUGCAGUCAUGACGGAUGUUGUGCAAGGAAGGAGGAUGCGGAGCGGCUUGUGUUGUGACGUGGGGUUAGCCAGGUGUGGUCGCUUUUAAAUAGUGGAUUCCGGUGAGGCCAGGUGUCCGGAUUCGUCAAUGUGCGGCGCCGGAGUGGGUUUCUCGGACGGCGAGCCCGCUUAAUGGCGGCAUACAGACGGAUGGGGCAUUGAACGGGCGUUGUAGAUAUAUGUCCCGUCCUGUCCAGUAACCCGUCUCCGAAGAGGCACGAACACUGGGGACGCGUCGCGGGCGACGCCCUAGGGCGGCGUGCCGCUUCAAUGGCGGACCUAGCGAGAGGUCGCGUCCGCUCUGGGCUGGCUUCAAUGUGGAGUGGCGUGCUCUACAGCGGCAUAAAUGCGGGCAGGUGGCGUCGGGCGGAACCGCACGCGAGCGAUUGAGGAGGGGGUUUGGAUGGGCCAGGGCGGUCGGAAGCAGGCAUGGGUGUUAUCCGGACGCCCGCAAAACCCCCAUAUUUGUCUCUUGUUCAGUACGUCGGAACCGUCCCGCGGACCUAUACCGAGACAGGUCCGCGUUGGAUGGCACAACAUGUCCGACUCGUACGGUCGGGACGGAUACAUGCGGCUUGAGAGUUGCCGUUGGAGAUGACUUAAUGUUUUUUGCAUUUCUAUGUCCUAACAUCUGACAGAUGGGGCAAGGUUGGAUUUUCCCUAUGGUAGCUUUUUUUUGGGAAUCCCUAUGGCAAAUUUGUUUCAAAAUUUAGAAAUUUGGUUUGCAAUUCUUUAUUGGGCUCGUUUGAUUCAAGGAAAUCUUAUACUCCCUCUGAUCCGACAUUGUAUAGAGGCUGAGUCAAGAUGUUAUUAUAACCAAUGUACUACCUCUGUUUAUUAAUGUAAGACAUUUUAUCAGUUUAAAUAGAAGUAGAAUCUUGUAUUAUAGGACGAGGGAGUAAUACUUUGGAGAAAUUUGAUUUUUAGGAAUUAUUUUUGUGUACAUUGUUUGAUUCGUAGGAAUCCAUAUCAUUCUUUCUAGGGCUACUUUGCACCCUAUUUUGGUAAAUAAAAAAAUCCAUCCGCUAAACCUCAUAGUACAUUUUUUUCCUAUAGUGUUUAAUACUCUCUUAUCCGACUUAUUGUAGUUUUUUAAUUCUAUAUAAUUAUAUGUUUUUCUUUUUCAUGUACUUUGAAACUCCUGCGAAUCAACCGCUUAAUUCGCUCAUGAAAACCGUUCCAGCGGGGCAUCUUCUUGCCUUCUCUCAACGCCCGCGACAUUGCGAGUCUCUGUCUUCUUCGUCCGCCUCUCUUGCGGCAGGAGCAACGGGGACCUCUACAGUUUCUCUCCAGUAAGAAGAUAGGAUAAGUGUUGUUUGCUUUCCGAGGUGCCCAGGUGGUGCGGUCUUCGGAUCUAGCGAGAUUUGUGUCCGGUGGUCGAUGCACGACAUUCCCGGUUUGCGUUGGUGUCGAUUGUUGCAGUAGUGUUUGGUGUUCUGUACCAGGGUACGUGGAUGACGAUAUGUCGUGGUGCUUCUCUUCUUCGACCACGUUGGAUGAAGUUGACGGCGCCAGAAUCUAAUGAACAUGGGGAAGAACCCCGACCGACAUGCCACAAAGUUUUGGUAUCGUCGCUUGCGGAGGUCCGUUUCAUCGGCUCAAAAGCAUCCUUAUAGGCGAAUGUGCUCCUCCAUGUAUGAGUAAGACCGUAGUUUCCCUCUUUCGUCGACGUUGCCUGAUGACGGUGGACCAUGUCUCCACAUGGCACAAGGUACUUCCAAAGUGGAAUUCUAGUUUUCAGCGGGAAUUCUAGUUUUACUUCUCGUGGGAUCUUUGAUGCAAUAUUACAAGACAUCUAUGUUUUUUUAUGUGAUCAUGUGCAUACUGUUUGUAAUCCGUUUGUCAAUGGGUAGUCACAUGCCUGGCUGCCCACCCUGCAACUGCCCAUCCUUGCUUUGACACCAAAUUUGCAUAGCUCAGCUGCUUUGUUCGCGAUCAGAUCUUGGUUCAGCCGUUUGACCGGCACACGGUACAGUGCUAGAACGGCGGCAAGCACGGAGCCAUUUUCUCUCUCGUUUAUUUUCUACGGCGGGGAGCACAGGGUUAUCGGGAGCAUCUCCUCCGCGCACUCCCCGCCGUGUCCCAUUCCCCGAUGCUUCGCCGUCGCCCAUAUUCAUCUUCCAAAUGAAGCUCACUCCUCCACUGCCAUAGCCGCCCGCCGCGCCAUCCCUGAUUCCUUGCCGUAUCGUUUCGCCCGUCAGAUGGACCCUGAGUCCGAGGUCACGUUCGAGUUCGUGCCGGUGAUCCGGCAGUACAGGAGCGGCCGCGUCGAGCGCCUGCUCCCCGUGGACCACGUCCCUCCCUCCGUCGACGCCGCCACGGGAGUCGCCUCCAGGGACGUCGUCGUCAACCCGGCCACCGGCACGUGGGCCCGCCUCUACCUCCCCGCCCCGGCGUCCCCCGUCGGCGACGAGAGCGGCAGGCUCCCCAUCAUGGUGUACCUCCACGGCGGCGGUCUCGUCGCCGGCUCGGCGGCGGACGCGCCCGAGCACGCGUUCCUCAACCGCCUGUGCGCCCGCGCGCGCGUCCUGGGCGUGUCCGUCGAGUACCGCCUCGCGCCGGAGCACCCCGUCCCGGCCUGCUACGACGACGCGUGGGCCGCGCUCCGGUGGGCCGCCGAGGGCGCCGACCCGUGGCUCCGGGACCGCGGCGACCGCGGCCGGAUGUUCGUGGUCGGGUACAGCGCCGGCGGCAACGUCGCCCACAACGUGGCGCUCCGCGCCGGCUCGGAGGCCGACGCGCUCCCCCGCGGCGCCCGGGUCAGGGGCCUCGGGCUCCUGCACCCGUACUUCCUCUCGGCCGAGAAGGCGGACGGCGAGCACUCGUGGCUGAGGGGCAAGCUGGAGGAGCUGUGGCCGUUCGCGUGCGGCGGGCGCACCGCCGGGCUGGACGACCCGCGGGUCAACCCGGUGGCCGACGGGGCGCCGAGCCUGCGGCGGCUCGGCUGCGACCGCGUCCUCGUCUGCCUCGCCGACGACGAGCUGCGGCUCCGAGGCAAGGCGUACCACGACGGGCUGCUGGGGAGCGGGUGGGCGGAGGGCGACGCCGAGCUGCUCGACUCCGUCGGCGAGGACCACCAGUUCUUCCUCCGGGAGCCCCCGACCGCGACGGCGCUGCUUCUCAUGGACCGGCUGGCCGCGCUCCUCGGCGCCGGCGAGAACCAGCAGUAGACCAGACGUCAGGUGCUGGCACUAGUGCGUUUGGUGUUGUACUAGUACUCUGUUCUACUCUGCGUGUAUCUGGAAUUUUAUGCGUAUGAUGCGUGGAAUAAAACACUCUCAUAACAUAAGUCAUAACUGUGAAUCAUUUUACCGAAGCAACCGCAACUCCUCCACAACGGUUUUCGGCUGUCUCUCCCUCCCAGGCGAUAUAGAGGCGAGCGGCUCCUGUUCCUAUGCUGCUGAAGCCACUGGCUCCCCUUCCCUCCGCUCGUCGCUCCGGCGACGGCGGUAGGGCGGGGGAGCCAGUUCCUUCUCUCUAAUGUCUAGGUAUAGGAUUGGUCUUGUCCGGUGUCGGUGCUCGGUUGAUGACGAUGUCGUCGUCGCGAAUGAAAGUUUGUAGUCUGGGCCACCGCCUCGAUGGCGUUCUACCACGACAUCGAGGAGCCGUGGGUUUGUACCCAGGAAACGUCUCCAAGAUGCCGGUGGAGGUCUUGCUGCGGAUCCUCUUUCUUUAGCUUUGUCCACGUCACGUCGGCUGUUCCUCCAGCGCCAUGCGGAGCCGGAAGUGUUCGUGUUGGAGGUGGCUAGCGCUGAGGCGCUGGUCUCGUCGGAGAGAUGGUGCAACAAGGGUUUUUUCGGCGGCAGAAGAUGGUUGGCGGUUCCGGAGCCUCUCGGCCACGUUCCUGCUCGAGAAUUUCAGAGUCGCGGUCCAAGUGAGUUGGAGAUUUGCUCGGGCCGACAGCCCACAGAGACAAGUGUGGUGAGUGGUGACGGUCGUGGUGGGCUUACAACGCAGCUGCCAUGGCUUUCUCUUGGAUCUUGGCUAAGUGGAGGCCACUUCUUCUCCUUUCAGGCGGAUGCUCGGGUGAGGGCGGUGGUCGAAGUUUUUGGUCAUUUUGUUGGUGGCUACAAGGAUGAAGAGGAAUUUCAUGCAAAUCUCAUUUGUUGGGAGCGCUUCCAAUAUUUUUUUUUCUUGGUGUGCUAUUUCUUUGGAUAACUGUAGAGAAAUGUCAUAUUUGCUGGAAUUUAUCGAUGUUACUAAUAUAAAUGUGGUACUUCUAAAAAAAACUGUGAAUAAUUUUGAUCUUGUUAACUAAAUAUAUCCACAUACCUUCUCAACAGGAGAAGUCCGCACACUCGCAUAACUUAAACCGUAUGAUGUUUCUAUUGCCAAUUUUUUUGCAACAAUGUCCGGAUGCUUCAUUCAGUUAAGAGCUUUCAACAACAAUGCAUAAGGACGACGAUAACUGCCACACGUGUGGCAUUUAAGGGGUUGUGCCGCACGCCCUGUGUGGCACGGAGACAACCCCGCCCACACGAGGCGUCCGGGCGCACCCCGCCAGCCCGCACGUUCGGUGUGCGGCACGAUCGCCCGCAUAAGCACGUCCGGGCGAGCGACCACGCGGCCCGCACGACCCGUCUCGGCCGUCGCCCCUCCCCGCCUGUGAGCCACACGCCCCGCGUGGCAGUAACCACGCGUCCCGCCGCGAUUGCCAUGGUCCGAACCCUCUUCAGUUGCCAUGUUGCCAUGUUGCUGAACUGCAGUUGCCAUGUUGCUGAACUACAGUUGCCAUGUCUGACAACUACAGUUGCCAUGGUGGCUGAACUGCAGUUGCCAUCUUAGGUCAAGUGCCGGAUGCCAUUUUUGGGCAACUGCAGCUGUUGCCAUGUAUGGUCUGGUCUACUACAGUUGCCAUGUUUUGAAAACUUUAGGAGUUGCCACCUACUAACAUUGGACAGUUGCCAUGUAGCACUACAAAAACAUGGCAAAAACAUGUUUCGGGUAAAAGAGAGAGUUGUCAUCUGCUUACAAGCACACUAGGGCAGUUGCCAUGUACCCUGCAAAAACACAUGGCAACUGAUAGCUUUUGGUGUGUGGGAGAGGAGACGGGCACGUGGGCGACGGUGGUACCUUUAGGAGUUGCCACCUACUAACACUAGACAGUUGCCAUGUAGCGCUACAAAUAGAUGUGGCAAUAAAUAACACGUUCGGGUGAAAGAGAGUUGCCAUCUGCUUACAAUCACAAAUAGGGCAGUUUCCAUGUACCCUUCAAAAACAUGGCAAAUGACAGCUUGGGUGUGGGAGAGUCGGAGAAUGGGUAAUCGUGGGAGAUGGGGAAACAGAAGUGGUGCGCGGCGUGCGGGCGCGACGGCAGUUCCACCGCACGCCCCGACUAGCAACCGUUGACCGCGGAGAGAAAACCGGCGUGCAGGCGAACUCCCUCACACGACACACACGAGUUGUCCUACGUGGCACACAAAAUCAGCCUUUUCAUUCCAAAAAUCAUGCAGAAGGCGCUGGACAGCGAUCGAGGCGUGUGGGCGAGUUGGCUAACGCCCACACGUGUGGGCGUUGGUGUUUCCGAUGCAUAAACAUCACACGUCAGCCACACAACAAUAGCAUCACACGUUUUGUGCCUAUUUAGGAGUAAUAAUGUUCCUUUUUUCGUGGAUGAUUAGGCAAGUUAGACGCCUGAACUGUCUUUUGCCACAACCACUCAGAACACAGGUUACGUGAGAGAUGAGGGAACUCGCCAUUUUGCCGAAAUGAUCUGCACCGAAUGUACAUUAUACAAUACUGCAAUCAGCUUAUGAUGAUGGAUUUGUUUCACUUAUCCAUAAUGAUGUUGUUCCUUUGGAGGGGGAGAUCGGCUUACAGAGCAUAUAUAUAACACAUCUACCUGAUAAAUUUAGAAGCCUAUUUACGCAGGCACGGCCAAGAAAAUUCAGUACAAACCUUACAAAAACGGCAGGACAAAAGGCAUGUGUAGAGAAAUAUGAAAAAAAGCAGCAACAUGUGAGGAAGCAAAUGUUUCCAUAAAUAACAUCCAGAAUCUGAAUACUACAGCAUAUAUAGCACAAUGUAACAACAAACAGGAUGCCAUAUGCACACGGAACGGGCACAUGAGGAAAGAUAACGGCAAGAAAAUAUAGCUUAUCCGGUAAUACAACAAGAGACCAACACACGACUGAUGAGAGCUGUUUCGAUCAUUCUGGGGCAAGCAAACAUGGCACACGGCAGCAUAGGGCCAAGUUGCUG
rnacentral:lncRNA from 1 species